UGGUCGAUUUUUGAAACGUCAUCAAUAGCGACGGAAACUGUCUCUUGUUGUAAGAAGCACUCUUUUUGUUUUUUCUUCUAUUUUAAACCAUUUUGAGUUGUCCUUUUCUAAAGCAACGAUAACAAUACAGUAACCACGAUUAGGAGUAACCAAGGAAGAAGAAAGACAAGAUUCUUUCAUUUUUUUCUUCAUUCUGAUUCUUCAUAAAGGAUUUGACGAGACCGCUUGUUUGGACGUGGGCAGAUAGGCAGCCUUUUUCAGACCAGACUGAUCAUCAUCUGAGAAGACAAGCCUGGUGCCAUCAUGGAUUUUGAUUCACUCUACAAGAACGUUUUUCUGAAAGUUGGCAGGAGUAAUAAUAAUAAAAGAUUGAACAAAAUUUACUGUAAGCCAUGCAGAGUGCUCUGCCGUGGACAGCUCGUCUAUAUGAAGCAUUGCUUAACCUUUGGACAUUUAGAGACCAUGAAGACCCUUUCCACUCAAGGUGCCCUCCUGUACAUUCUGAAGUACAAAGCUAAAACCCCAGUAGUUGGUAAGU